ACUCCUACGGGAGGCAGCAGUGGGGAAUCUUCCACAAUGGGCGCAAGCCUGAUGGAGCAACACCGCGUGAGUGAAGAAGGGUUUCGGCUCGUAAAGCUCUGUUGUUAAAGAAGAACACGUAUGAGAGUAACUGUUCAUACGUUGACGGUAUUUAACCAGAAAGUCACGGCUAACUACGUGCCAGCAGCCGCGGUAAUACGUAGGUGGCAAGCGUUAUCCGGAUUUAUUGGGCGUAAAGAGAGUGCAGGCGGUUUUCUAAGUCUGAUGUGAAAGCCUUCGGCUUAACCGGAGAAGUGCAUCGGAAACUGGAUAACUUGAGUGCAGAAGAGGGUAGUGGAACUCCAUGUGUAGCGGUGGAAUGCGUAGAUAUAUGGAAGAACACCAGUGGCGAAGGCGGCUACCUGGUCUGCAACUGACGCUGAGACUCGAAAGCAUGGGUAGCGAACAGGAUUAGAUACCCUGGUAGGAUAGCGUAGUCGU
rnacentral:rRNA from 1 species